rnacentral:rRNA from 1 species
GACGAACGCUGGCGGCGUGCCUAAUACAUGCAAGUCGAACGAACUCUGGUAUUGAUUGGUGCUUGCAUCAUGAUUUACAUUUGAGUGAGUGGCGAACUGGUGAGUAACACGUGGGAAACCUGCCCAGAAGCGGGGGAUAACACCUGGAAACAGAUGCUAAUACCGCAUAACAACUUGGACCGCAUGGUCCGAGCUUGAAAGAUGGCUUCGGCUAUCACUUUUGGAUGGUCCCGCGGCGUAUUAGCUAGAUGGUGGGGUAACGGCUCACCAUGGCAAUGAUACGUAGCCGACCUGAGAGGGUAAUCGGCCACAUUGGGACUGAGACACGGCCCAAACUCCUACGGGAGGCAGCAGUAGGGAAUCUUCCACAAUGGACGAAAGUCUGAUGGAGCAACGCCGCGUGAGUGAAGAAGGGUUUCGGCUCGUAAAACUCUGUUGUUAAAGAAGAACAUAUCUGAGAGUAACUGUUCAGGUAUUGACGGUAUUUAACCAGAAAGCCACGGCUAACUACGUGCCAGCAGCCGCGGUAAUACGUAGGUGGCAAGCGUUGUCCGGAUUUAUUGGGCGUAAAGCGAGCGCAGGCGGUUUUUUAAGUCUGAUGUGAAAGCCUUCGGCUCAACCGAAGAAGUGCAUCGGAAACUGGGAAACUUGAGUGCAGAAGAGGACAGUGGAACUCCAUGUGUAGCGGUGAAAUGCGUAGAUAUAUGGAAGAACACCAGUGGCGAAGGCGGCUGUCUGGUCUGUAACUGACGCUGAGGCUCGAAAGUAUGGGUAGCAAACAGGAUUAGAUACCCUGGUAGUCCAUACCGUAAACGAUGAAUGCUAAGUGUUGGAGGGUUUCCGCCCCUCAGUGCUGCAGCUAACGCAUUAAGCAUUCCGCCUGGGGAGUACGGCCGCAAGGCUGAAACUCAAAGGAAUUGACGGGGGCCCGCACAAGCGGUGGAGCAUGUGGUUUAAUUCGAAGCUACGCGAAGAACCUUACCAGGUCUUGACAUACUAUGCAAAUCUAAGAGAUUAGACGUUCCCUUCGGGGACAUGGAUACAGGUGGUGCAUGGUUGUCGUCAGCUCGUGUCGUGAGAUGUUGGGUUAAGUCCCGCAACGAGCGCAACCCUUAUUAUCAGUUGCCAGCAUUAAGUUGGGCACUCUGGUGAGACUGCCGGUGACAAACCGGAGGAAGGUGGGGAUGACGUCAAAUCAUCAUGCCCCUUAUGACCUGGGCUACACACGUGCUACAAUGGAUGGUACAACGAGUUGCGAACUCGCGAGAGUAAGCUAAUCUCUUAAAGCCGUUCUCAGUUCGGAUUGUAGGCUGCAACUCGCCUACAUGAAGUCGGAAUCGCUAGUAAUCGCGGAUCAGCAUGCCGCGGUGAAUACGUUCCCGGGCCUUGUACACACCGCCCGUCACACCAUGAGAGUUUGUAACACCCAAAGUCGGUGGGGUAACCUUUUAGGAACCAGCCGCCUAAGGUGGGACAGAUGAUUAGGGUG